rfam:Clostridium aceticum strain DSM 1496, complete genome.
GUUUCCGUAGCUCAGUAGGAUAGAGCAACUGCCUCCUAAGCAGUAGGCCGCUGGUUCGAUUCCAGUCGGGAACA